GACGAACGCUGGCGGCGUGCUUAACACAUGCAAGUCGAACGGACAGGCCCUGCUUGCAGGGUGCUUGAGUGGCGAACGGGUGAGUAACACGUGGGUGAUCUGCCCCUUACUUUGGGAUAAGCCUGGGAAACUGGGUCUAAUACUGGAUAGGACCAUGCUGUAGGUGGUGUGGUGGAAAGAUUAGUUUCGGUUAGGGAUGAGCUGGCGGCCGAUCAGCGGUUCGGUGGGGUACUGGGCUACCAAGGCCUCGACGGGUAGACGGCCUGAGUGGGUGGACGGCACGGUCGAGACUGCGAUAGGGGCCAGCCGCCGGCGAGCGGCAGCAGUGGGGAAUAGUGCACAAUGGGCGCAAGGCUGAUGUGGCGACGCCGCGUGGGGGAUGACGGCCUGCGGGUUGUAAACUCCUUUCAGCCAUGACGAAGCCCUUGUGGUGACGGUAGUGGUAGAAGAAGCACCGGCUAACUACGUG
rnacentral:rRNA from 1 species